rnacentral:rRNA from 1 species
AUGGCGCCAACGACGCACUUCACGCCGUCGCAGGCGCACGCGGCGGCCGCCUCCCACCACCCCGCGGCGGCGGCGGCGGCGGCCACCGCCACAGCCACUGCCCGGCUGCAUGCGUCGGCGUCCGCGUCGGCGCCUGCCGCGGCGGCGGCGCUUUGCCCGCCCUUCCUCGCGGCGGGCUCCCACUCCGUGGCGUGCCCGCCCGUCCAGAACCCGCUAUUUAGUGGCCCGGCCACGCCGUGGGCGGUGCAGCCCCAGCGCGCCGCUGCUGGGGCCCUUGGCCCGGAGUUCCGGCGUGCGCGCUCCACCAAGAACAUCUCCAAGCGCAACAACCGUGGUGCAGGUGGCCAGGAACGCGGGGCGCGCGCGUCCUCAGCUGCUGCUGGGCGCUGUGUCGACAAGCUGCUCCGCGUUGCCCCUGAAGACCGGCGCGCGCUCGGCGCAUCGCUUUCGUCUUUCCGGGGAGAGCUGGUUGGUCCUGAUGAUUACUGCCAUGUCCUUCGGGAGCUCGGCGACAGGGACAAGUCUGCGCUCCGUGCGCUUGAGGUGUUCCACGCUGCACUGCCCCUUGUUGGCAAUGGCUCCGUCGAUAAGGGCAAGCUUUUGACCGCCGCAAUUGGUGCACUCGGCAAGAUGGGGCGACCAGACCUCGCAAGAAGAGGUUUUGAUGCUGGCAUUGCAGGGGGUUAUGGCAAAACGGUGUUUGCAUACUCAGCGCUCAUAUCAGCAUAUGCGAGGAGUGGUCUUGCGACCGAGGCCAUGGGGGUGCUUGAGUCGAUGAAGGGUGCAGGCUUGCGGCCUACCACAGUUACGUACAAUGCGGUGAUUGAUGCAUGCGGGAAAGGGGGUGUUGACCUCAGGUUCACGCUCGGAUAUUUUCGUCAGAUGCUACGGGAUGGGCUCUGUCCCGACCGGAAGACUUUCAAUUCACUUCUUUCUGCAUGUAGCCGCGCAGGGCACUUGGAGGAUGCCCGUGCUGUCUUUGAUGAAAUGAUCCAUCUUGGCAUUGGGCGUGACAUUUAUACAUACAACACAUUUAUCGAUGCAAUUUGCAAGUGUGGCAACAUCGAGCUUGCUAUGCAGGUUCUGCUGGAUAUGGAAGCGAAAAAGCUGAAGCCAAAUGUUGUUACAUACAGUACACUGAUUGAUGGAUACUCCAAGCUGGAGAAGUAUGAGGGGGCACUCAAGUUGUACGAAAAGAUGAAGUCUUUGGGAAUUCGAUUGGACCGAGUUUGCUACAACACAGUGCUGGCUAUUUAUGUGAAGACCGGAAAGUAUGCCGAAAUUGCCAUUGUGUGUGACGAGAUGGAGGACUCUGGGAUUGAGAAGGAUACUGUCACUUACAAUUCUUUGAUUAAUGGAUAUGGAAAGCAGGGACGCUUGGACAUCGUCUCUUUCCUCGUCCAAGAUAUGAGGAGACGCGGGGUAGCUCCUAGUGUACUCACAUACUCAACUUUGAUUGAUAUCUAUUCAAAGGCAGGAAUGCAUGGAGAUGCAUUUAAUGUCUAUUUAGAUUUUAAGGAAUCUGGCCUAAAGGCCGAUGUUGUUCUGUUCAGCUCUUUCAUUGACACAUUGGCCAAGAAUGGAUUGGUAGAGUGGGCAUUAUCUUUGCUAAAUGAUAUGACCGAGAUGGGUAUCAAGCCCAAUGUGGUUACAUAUAACACAAUAAUCGAUGCAUUUGGCAAGUCUAAGGUACAUGCUGAGGAGGAUCCUGAAGUUGGGGACAUGGGCAUUGUUGGGGUUUAUAAUGGCCAGAUCAUAAGGGCUGCUAAUCCAGUGACAAGAGGACACUCUGCCAUUGAUGUCCGGAUGAGGAGGUCUCAGGAAUUAUAUUUCAUUCUGGAAUUGUUUCAGAAGAUGGUCCAACAGGGUGUAAGGCCAAAUGUUGUUACAUUUUCUGCGAUCCUGAAUGCUUGCAGUCGCUGUAAUAACUUUGAAGAUGCAGCCCUAUUACUGGAACAACUUCGCUUGUUUGAUAACUUUGUCUAUGGCGUUGCGUAUGGGCUCCUUAUGGGUUACCAAGAAAUUUGGUCGCAAGCGCAGUCCCUUUUUAAUCAGCUGGGACGCAUGGAUUCUCCAACAUCCUCUGCCUUUUAUAAUGCUCUUACUGAUAUGCUAUGGCAUUUUGGCCAGAGGCAAGGAGCUCAGUUAAUUGUGCUCAAAGGGGUAAAUCUCCGUGUGUGGGAGAACACAUGGAGUGAGUUUUGCUUGGACCUGCACCUUAUGUCAUGUGGUGCAGCUCAAGCAAUGGUUCAUGCAUGGCUCCUGAAUGUGCGCUCUAUUGUCUUCGAAGGACGAGCUAUGCCUGAGUUUCUAAGCAUUCUGACAGGGUGGGGAAAGCAUAGCAAGAUUGCGGGCGCAAGCACUCUUCGCCAUGUCAUCGAAGCACUUCUCAACUCAAUCGGAGCACCGUUUCAGGUUGAGCGAUUCAACAUUGGAAGGUUUGUAUCGCCCAGCGUCGUGGUGGCUGCCUGGUUGAGAGAAUCCGGCACCAUCAACACGAUACUCGUCAGCGACGAGCGUGCGCAGCGUGCAAGCCCAUCCAAUCUGGUGCCGAGGCUGGAGGCGCUGCAGUUGUAG